CUUUUUCUUUUCCUGGCUCUUUCUUCCCAUUCUCAUUCGCUCUCUCAAAAUUCCGUUCAAUUAGAAUAGACUCUCUGCAAAAAAUGGUCACACUGGAGUGUCAUCGAAAUAUGGCGACCCUUUGUUUACGUUUUGCAGCCGCCACGAAAAACAAGCGAAUGCCGUCCUAAAACCACCUAAAAACGUGAAAGAACCACAAAUUUAAAUGCCAUUCAAGAAAAUACCGCCACUGCGUAUUAAUAAUGGGAUAACGCGCUUGACGAUGGAGCUGCUGUUGCUGCUGCUGCUUUUGCUUGCUGGUGGCAUAACCCCAAUGGGGGAUAACGAAGCGAAUAUGCAACUUGGCAACACUUGAGCAUUCCGGGCACGCACUUAGCCCCCAACCACAGGAGCCCCCCCUCCGACCGAACAGGCAAAGGCGAGCAGAGCAGGAUGAAUGCUGGGAAAAAGAGAAGACCCGAAAGCGGGGAGACGGGACUCCUCGUUCUAAGGCAGCUGUUCCGUGUCAACACCCAGCAGGCAACACCAUCACCAAUCCAUGGCAAAUUUAAUCGAAAGCGUGUAAUUGACCUCAGUAAAUGGCACAGGAAUGGGCGUGGAAAUGGGUCUAGGAGUUGGGCCACCACCCGGAGAUGGGCGAUGGGAGUCGAGUCGGCGCCGGUGUGGGAGACAGGGCUUUGUCGAAAGCUUAGCCAACUGCCAUCAAAUCAUUAUCAGUUAAAUAAACGACGGCAGCAAGUUAAAAAGAUAACGAAGUCGUCGUCGUCGUCGCACAGGAGCAGAAGUAAAAGCAGAAGGAACAGCAGCAACAGAUGAUAUCUCGCCCCGCACUCGACGACGGUGGCUUUGAUUCGGAGUGGCACGGCACAGUACACCCCAUCUGCAUGCCCCAACCAUCCUACAAUAGACAGACGUAAGCCGCCUCGUUUUAUGCUAAUUCAAAUGGAAAUGGAGCCAGUCAGCAGCUGCCGGCGUGGCAAAGUGGAGUAUAGGAUGAGUCCUCAACCAAGUUGUCAACGGCAUCCCAUCGCCAGAGCCAAAAGCUCGUUUCAUUAUGCGACUGCUGGCUGCUUGCUGGCUGGCUGCUGUGGGCGUGGCGUGGCUGGUGCCUUGAUCGGGGCUCAGAGAUAGCGCACAGAGAAAAGCUGGCAGAAGAGGCUACGGCUACAUAUGCAGAUGUAUACAGGAUAUGCGGAGCAGAAUACGGUCCGCGUCGUGGUCCUGGCCGAAUCGCAUUCCUUGUAAGGCAAAUUCGCCAUGAUUUUCAUAUAAUUUCCGCAUCAUAAAGCUGCGAAAGUAAUUUUCCACUUGAAAGCACAGCGCAGCCAAAAAGUGUGAAACGAUAGGAGGCAGGAGGCAUACAACCGAGCAGGAGAUGGGGUCAGACAUUGGACCAGGCUAAGACCCCAAGCUGUCUGCCUCUGUAUGUGUGUGUGUUGUUGGUUUUUGUUCGGUAAUGUCGAUGGGAGCUUGUUUUUUGCCACAUUGAGCAUUUUGUGUUGUCACCUUUUGGGCGCACGGGAAUGCAAAUAAGACCAGGCCAAAACUCUGAUUCCUUCGCAUUAAGUUGUGGAAGCAGCAGGGAGCAUCUGGAGCAGAAGCUGGAGCUGGAGGCAACUCCAAUGACAUCUCUUUAAGGCGACAUAAGAUUAGGCUAAGCAGCUGGGCACACCCCGGAGCACACACACAACACAGCGAGAGGGAGGACACGACCGAAACACACACACAGACAAUAGGGAGUGGCCGCCGUGUCGGGGCAGCAAAUUUCAUUAUGCGGCUCACGUGCGAGACAACCAAAUUCACUGGGAAAUAAAGAAAAAAUCCAAGCGAGCCACAGUUGGAGUCUAAGGACUAGAAGAUACCCAAAUAUUCCAACAUUCUCUAUAAAAAUGAAAAAAAAAACCCUCUUAAUAAGAGGAGAAUGAAUAUAUGGCAAUACAUUCCCAACAAGAGAUGUUCCUUGCCACAUUUUGACUGUAUUUAAUUUAAAUCCUAGUUUUAAUUAGAAUGUAAGAACUUGCAUUACUUUCAUAGGAUAUGUCAUUUGCAUUGAUCGAUACUUCAUCAUUCUGGCUGUAAAAAUAUUCCGAACUUUAACGUUUUAUAUUAUUGUAUUAUGUGUAGAUAAUGUCUUCACAGCUUCGUCCUAUUUUUCAAGGAAGGAAAGUGAAGCCGAUAAAAGGUAGAGAUGUUGAUAAAGAUGAUAUAAGCGAUAAGGAAGGACCAAAAUAUUCGUUUAUAGCUUUACUGAUCUCCAAGAUCCAGGCAUUAUUCCGAUUUUAUACAAGAAUCUACACCAAUACAAUAUACUCCAUGUCGUCCCUCAUCCAAAAGCACGGUAUAAAAAUUCUGGAAAGAACGAAGAACCAAAAAAAAAGAGGGAGAAGCAAAAAAAAAAGAAUAAAGAAAAUAUAAAUACAACAGAGAAGAGAGAAGAGGACAGGAAUAUCGGAAGGAAGCGGCAAUAGAAAACGUACAAAAGCGAAACACGCAACGCAACGGAGAAACGGAAGAGAGGCGCCAGGCGGCUCCCGGAUCCGACUUUGGAGCACGGUGCUCCAGCUUCACUUGAACUUAUCCCCCCAGUCCCAUACCAUACCAUCCCAUACCAUCCGUAUUCCUGAAAGAGCGGGCAGGCGGAAGGAAGUCAGUCAAUGCCCGCAGCAGAAAAGGCCAGCAACAACAAAUAGAAAGCGACAAAGUAGAAACAAAAAUAAAACAACGCUAUAGAA